CAUGCAAGUCGAACGGCAGCACGGACUUCGGUCUGGUGGCGAGUGGCGAACGGGUGAGUAAUAUAUCGGAACGUGCCCAGUCGUGGGGGAUAACGUAGUGAAAAUUACGCUAAUACCGCAUACGAUCUACGGAUGAAAGCGGGGGACUCGCAAGAGCCUCGCGCGAUUGGAGCGGCCGAUAUCAGAUUAGGUAGUUGGUGAGGUAAAGGCUCACCAGGCCCGCGAUCUGUAGCUGGUCUGAGAGGACGACCAGCCACACUGGAACUGAGACACGGUCCAGACUCCUACGGGAGGCAGCAGUGGGGAAUUUUGGACAAUGGACGCAAGUCUGAUCCAGCCAUUCCGCGUGCAGGAUGAAGGCCCUCGGGUUGUAAACUGCUUUUGUACGGAACGAAAAGGUCUCUCCUAAUACGAGGGGCUCAUGACGGUACCGUAAGAAUAAGCACCGGCUAACUACGUGCCAGCAGCCGCGGUAAUACGUAGGGUGCAAGCGUUAAUCGGAAUUACUGGGCGUAAAGCGUGCGCAGGCGGUUAUAUAAGACAGAUGUGAAAUCCCCGGGCCCAACCUGGGAACUGCAUUUGUGACUGUAUAGCUAGAGUACGGUAGAGGGGGAUGGAAUUCCGCGUGUAGCAGUGAAAUGCGUAGAUAUGCGGAGGAACACCGAUGGCGAAGGCAAUCCCCUGGACCUGUACUGACGCUCAUGCACGAAAGCGUGNGGAGCAAACAGGAUUAGAUACCCUGGUAGUCCACGCCCUAAACGAUGUCAACUGGUUGUUGGGUCUUAACUGACUCAGUAACGAAGCUAACGCGUGAAGUUGACCGCCUGGGGAGUACGGCC
rnacentral:rRNA from 1 species